AAAAGGAUUUUGUACUUUUUUUCCUUCGCUAGACUUUUUUCCAUUCAGUUUUUUCUGAAAAUGUUUUAACCAGACAUAUCCAAAAUAAACAUCUAAGGGUGUGUGUUAUGAAUAAUGAAUUAUUUGUCUCCCAACUAAUUUCAUUCCUUAUUUAUAACAAUUUGUAUUUAUUAUAUUGUCUGAUGUCCUAUAAAUAUGACAAAUCUCAUUAUAUAGGAUUACACGAG
rnacentral:lncRNA from 1 species